UCCUCUCUCAUAGCAUCACACCAGUCGUGAUUGGAUAAUGCCUUACUAACAGUUUUGGAAAUGUGGAUAGAGUAUAAAGAAGUAACAAAACACUGAGAAUAAAAAGACAACUGAUUAUAAGAAACAAAAGAUGAACUAGGAUAAUUAUACGUGCAUUUACCUUUACGAAGAGUAAUUGGUAAAUCAAGGUCCGAAUCAGGACCAGAAGCAGGAAUUGGAUCUCCCAACGAAGAAGCCAGUACAGAGUUUGAGUCUGAGUCUUAGAUCUCUUCCAUCCUCCUAGGAAAGGUCCUGGAAUAAACAUGAAUUGGUGGUUUAGGCCAAACUGGUAUUGAGUUGAAGGAUCAGAUGAUGGGAGAGG
rnacentral:misc_RNA from 1 species